rnacentral:rRNA from 1 species
GAUGCCUACGGGGCGCAGCAGUGAGGAAUAUUGGUCAAUGGGCGGGAGCCUGAACCAGCCAAGUCGCGUGAGGGAAGACGGCCCUAUGGGUCGUAAACCUCUUUUGUCAGGGAGCAAAGGCGUCCACGUGUGGACGAGAGGAGAGUACCUGAAGAAAAAGCAUCGGCUAACUCCGUGCCAGCAGCCGCGGUAAUACGGAGGAUGCGAGCGUUAUCCGGAUUUAUUGGGUUUAAAGGGUGCGUAGGCGGAGUGUCAAGUCAGCGGUAAAAUUUCGGGGCUCAACCCCGUCGUGCCGUUGAAACUGA